rnacentral:tRNA from 3 species
GGCGACAUAGCUCAGUAGGUAGAGCAAACGGCUCAUAUCCGUUCGGUCAUAGGUUCGAUCCCUAUUGUCGCUA